rnacentral:rRNA from 1 species
UAGGGAAUCUUCGGCAAUGGACGAAAGUCUGACCGAGCAACGCCGCGUGAGUGAAGAAGGUUUUCGGAUCGUAAAACUCUGUUGUUAGAGAAGAACAAGGACGUUAGUAACUGAACGUCCCCUGACGGUAUCUAACCAGAAAGCCACGGCUAACUACGUGCCAGCAGCCGCGGUAAUACGGAGGUGGCAAGCGUUGUCCGGAUUUAUUGGGCGUAAAGCGUGCGCAGGCGGUUUCUUAAGUCUGAUGUGAAAGCCCCCGGCUCAACCGGGGAGGGUCAUUGGAAACUGGGAGACUUGAGUGCAGAAGAGGAGAGUGGAAUUCCAUGUGUAGCGGUGAAAUGCGUAGAUAUAUGGAGGAACACCAGUGGCGAAGGCAGCUCUCUGGUCUGUAACUGACGCUGAGGCUCGAAAGCGUGGGGAUCAAACAGG